rnacentral:rRNA from 1 species
ACGCUCGACACCUACGGGGGGCAGCAGUGGGGAAUAUUGCACAAUGGGGGAAACCCUGAUGCAGCGACGCCGCGUGAGCGAAGAAGUAUCUCGGUAUGUAAAGCUCUAUCAGCAGGGAAGAAGAUGACGGUACCUGACUAAGAAGCACCGGCUAAAUACGUGCCAGAGCCGCGGUAAUCUGAGCGGGCUGGCAAGGC